rnacentral:pre_miRNA from 1 species
CAACUACUCCCACUGUCCCAAAUUUCUUGUCUUAGAUUUGUCUAGAUACGGAUGUAUCUAAUACUAAAAUGUGACUUGAUACAUCUGUAUCUAGACAAAUCUAAGACAAGAAUUUUGGGACGGAGGGAGUACUUU